GACGAACGCUGGCGGCGUGCUUAACACAUGCAAGUGGAGCGACGAACCGGGGGCUUGCCCCGGGGCAGAGCCGCGAACGGGUGAGUAACACGUGGGUAACCCACCCCGAUGACCGGGACAACCCGAGGAAACUCGGGCUAAUACCGGAUGUGCUCCUUGACCUCGAGGUCAAGGCGUAAAGAUAGCUUCGGCCUUCGCAUCGGGACGGGCCCGCGGCCCAUUAGCUUGUUGGUGGGGUAACGGCCUACCAAGGCGACGANGGGUAGCUGGUCUGAGAGGACGAUCAGCCACACUGGGACUGAGACACGGCCCA
rnacentral:rRNA from 1 species